rnacentral:tRNA from 1 species
GAUUAGCUCAGUUGGUAGAGCGCUUCGUUUACACCGAAGAUGUCGGCGGUUCGAGCCCGUCAUCGCCCACCA